CCUACGGGAGGCAGCAGUGGGGAAUAUUGCACAAUGGGGGAAACCCUGAUGCAGCGACGCCGCGUGAGUGAAGAAGUCUUUCGGUAUGAAAAGCUCUAUCAGCAGGGAAGAAGCACGACGGUACCUGACUCAGCAGCCCCGGCUAACUACGUGCCAGCAGCCGCGGUCAUACGUAGGGGGCAAGCGUUAUCCGGAUUUACUGGGUGUAAAGGGAGCGUAGACGGUAUGGCAAGUCUGAAGUGAAAGCCCAGGGCUUAACCCUGGGACUGCUUUGGAAACUGUUAGACUAGAGUGCUGGAGAGGUAAGUGGAAUUCCUAGUGUAGCGGUGAAAUGCGUAGAUAUUAGGAAGAACACCAGUGGCGAAGGCGGCUUACUGGACAGUAACUGACGUUGAGGCUCGAAAGCGUGGGGAGCAAACAGGAUUAGAUACCCGUGUAGUC
rnacentral:rRNA from 1 species